GACGAACGCUGGCGGCGUGCCUAAUACAUGCAAGUAGAACGCUGAAGGAGGAGCUUGCUCUUUCCGUAGGAGUGGCGAACGGGGGAGUAACGCGUAGUUAACCUGCCUUGUAUCGGGGGAAAACUCUUGGAAACGAUGGUUAAUACCGCAUAACAGUAGUGAUUGCAUGAUAUUUGCUUGAAAGUGGCAAUGGCUCCACUACAAGAUGGACCUGCGUUGUGUUAGCUAGGGGGUGAGGUAACGGCUCACCAAGGCGACGAUACGUAGCCGACCGGAGAGGGUGGUCGGCCAGCCUGGGAGUGUGACACGCCCCAGAGUGCUAGGGAUGGGAGCAGUAGGGCUACUUCGGGCAUGGACGGAAGUCUUACCGAGAUGCGCCGCGUGAGGAUGGAGGGUCUUCGGGUCGUGAAGCUCGGUUGUAAGAUAAGAACGAGUGUGAGAGUGGAACGAUCACUCUGUGACGGUAUCGUACAAGAAAGGGCCGGCUAACUACGUG
rnacentral:rRNA from 1 species